GACGAACGCUGGCGGCGUGCUUAACACAUGCAAGUCGAACGGAAAGGCCCUGCUUUUGUGGGGUGCUCGAGUGGCGAACGGGUGAGUAACACGUGAGUAACCUGCCCUUGACUUUGGGAUAACUUCAGGAAACUGGGGCUAAUACCGGAUAGGAGCUCCUGCUGCAUGGUGGGGGUUGGAAAGUUUCGGCGGUUGGGGAUGGACUCGCGGCUUAUCAGCUUGUUGGUGGGGUAGUGGCUUACCAAGGCUUUGACGGGUAGCCGGCCUGAGCGGGUGACCGGCCACAUUGGGACUGAGAUACGGACCAGAAUCCUACGGGAGGCAGCAGGGGGGAAUAUUGCACAAUGGGCGGAAGCCUGAUGCAGCAACGCCGCGUGCGGGAUGACGGCCUUCGGGUUGUAAACCGCUUUCGCCUGUGACGAAGCGUGAGUGACGGUAAUGGGUAAAGAAGCACCGGCUAACUACGUG
rnacentral:rRNA from 1 species